CAAGCUGUAGGUCAAAUUUGCGGUGCUGCUGCUUCAAGGGUGUUGGAAGGAGUUUGAGCAGAACAAGGUGUAUAACAACACCUUGGUCCUGAACAUGAAGAAAUGGAGGUAGCUGCAUCAGCUGGCAAACAUAAAAGACUGAAGGAAGAGCUGAAGGAUGUCGUAGACCUGCUACUGAACUACUGGGUGUCUCGGAGAGCUGCUCUGUGACAAAGACCAUCAAAAAUGAAGAGGUGAAAAUGGAAGAGCAGGUGGAAGACAAGGUGCUUCAUGUGGUGGCUUCCUAACAACAACGAGGCAAAAUCAAGGCAGAAAAAAGAAAGAAUAUCAUCAAACCAGAAAUAUUGAUACUACCAGAAACUU